GGACGAACGCUGGCGGCGUGCCUAAUACAUGCAAGUCGAGCGCAGGAAGCUGACGGAACUCUUCGGAGGGAAGGCUGUGGAAUGAGCGGCGGACGGGUGAGUAACACGUAAGGAACCUGCCUCUUGGAUUGGGAUAACUCCGAGAAAUCGGAGCUAAUACCGGAUAGUUCAUCGGACCGCAUGGUCCGCUGAUGAAAGGCGCUCCGGCGUCACCUUGAGAUGGCCUUGCGGUGCAUUAGCUAGUUGGUGGGGUAACGGCCCACCAAGGCGACGAUGCAUAGCCGACCUGAGAGGGUGAUCGGCCACACUGGGACUGAGACACGGCCCAGACUCCUACGGGAGGCAUCAGUAGGGAAUCUUCCGCAAUGGACGAAAGUCUGAUGGAGCAACGCCGCGUGAGUGAUGAAGGUUUUCGGAUCGUAAAACUCUGUUGUAAGGGAAGAACACGUACGAGAGGGAAUGCUCGUACCUUGACGGUACCUUACGAGAAAGCCACGGCUAACUACGUGCCAGCAGCCGCGGUAAUACGUAGGUGG
rnacentral:rRNA from 1 species